GCCGGUGUCGCUAAAUGGUUAGAGCAUCCAUCUGCGCACUGAAGGGCCACAGGUUCAAUUCCUGGUCAAGGGCA
rnacentral:tRNA from 1 species